rnacentral:rRNA from 1 species
GACGAACGCUGGCGGCGUGCUUAACACAUGCAAGUCGAACGGAAAGGCUCCAGCUUGCUGGAGUGCUCGAGUGGCGAACGGGUGAGUAACACGUGGGCAAUCUGCCCUGCACUCUGGGAUAAGCCUGGGAAACUGGGUCUAAUACCGGAUAGGACCUUUCUCCUCAUGGGGUUUGGUGGAAAGUUUUUCGGUGCAGGAUGAGCCCGCGGCCUAUCAGCUUGUUGGUGGGGUAAUGGCCUACCAAGGCGACGACGGGUAGCCGGCCUGAGAGGGUGAUCGGCCACAUUGGGACUGAGAUACGGCCCAGACUCCUACGGGAGGCAGCAGUGGGGAAUAUUGCACAAUGGGCGAAAGCCUGAUGCAGCGACGCCGCGUGAGGGAUGACGGCCUUCGGGUUGUAAACCUCUUUCAGUAGGGACGAAGCGCAAGUGACGGUAUCUGCAGAAGAAGCACCGGCUAACUACGUG